UACAACUGGGGAGGUCCCAGGCAGUGCUCUGACUGCUAGGUGUUUAUUCCAAAGAUUCUGAACCAAGGCUGUCAUGCGACUGCAGAAUGCCCCACCUUACCAUUUCUAAAUGUUAGUAUUUAUUUUAGCCAUUAUAAUACACUCUGUCAUCCAGCGGGUGUUUGAGUGUUGUGUGUGUACCAGGCCCUGUGCUAGUACCAGAGGUACAGAAGAGAAACUGGCACGAAGCUUGUCCUCAGGGAGUGCUCAACAGGUACUAGUCAAAGUACAGCACAAGCCGUAACAGCAGUCAAAGGGGAUUGCAUUGUCUUUUCAAAUUCUGGUGGAAUUUCACCACCCAUACUGUACUCUCAUCAAGGAGGAACCAGGAGAUUAUACAACUUAACAGCUGAACAGUGACUGCUAGUCAUCAGCUGCUGACUCAGGCUUUGGUUGGUGCCAGGAAAAGAGAGUAUCAACACACCUAAUGGCCUAAGCCUCCUACAAUUUGGAAAAAAGCAAAGCUCAUCCGGGAAUGGAUUUUAUUUGCUAGCUGGUGUGCUUUAGGAUCUGAUUAUUGGGGUGUCUGGGAUUGUCUUAGUAGGAAUCAAGGAAGGAAGCCCUGUUGGAGGUAGAAUGGAAGAGGCAGGAAGAUGACCCUCAGCAGAUGAGCAGUCUGGCACCAGAGGAACCUCCCAGGGUGUAGGCAGAACCUUAGGGUGAUCUGUGGAUUUUCCCCAAGAUGUGGAUGGAUGGAAGUUUAGGCCAGCCUCCUUGGGAUCUGCAGUGGUGGGUGGCACCAAAAGACAUCUGGAUUGCACAGCUGUGCAAGUGUAAGCCUCUGUCUCCAUGGUGACAGGUACACAGUGCCACAGUGCAAAGCAGCCUCACAUCCCCCACCUCUAAAAGCCGCCCGGGCUGGUGAGUGCUAUCAGAGAAGAGAAUCAGAGGUUCAGAGUGGUGCGAGGUGGAGAUGGAACUGGAACCCCAGGGCCAGAGCUCUUUCUUCUCUCCCUAGCUAUCACAAAGCAGGUGCUGGAAAAUGAAAUCGCUUUUUACACAGCUGUAGGAGGAAGCUUCCUUCCUCGUAGGCCCUGUGGUGCCGUUGGCCAGCUCUGCAGACUUGCAGGAAUAAUGUGACUUGUUGAUGUGUUAGUUCUUGGUCUCUAAAAUGAGGCUAGAGAGACUGAAGUAAGCCACAUUCCCUCCUCGUGCUCCAGUUCCCCCGCUUGCACAAGGAGAGGUGUCUAUAGGCCCCUCCUGUUCUGUGGAAAGAGAUGGCAUAAAAAGGGGCUGGGCAAAGCACUGCACAGACCUCAAUGUGUCCUGCUAGUUGGACUCAUGGGUUUGUAUUACACAUAUUUCUAGUGCAUACGACUGGAAGCUUCCACUGCAUUGGACAAAACUCUCCACAUGGUCAAAUCGAUGUGAGAGCAAUUUUUCAAAAUUGUGAAGCUCUCUUUCCAUCCACUCUGAUACAUUCUAGCCUUAUGCUUUCAGAGCUAAAAGGAUUCCAAACCAACCCAACUUGGUUUCAACAGAGACAUCUGGGUAGGAACCACACUUGAGGGUAGCUGAGGA